CCAAUUUCCAAUUUCCAAUUUCAAGAAGACAGUAACAAAGUAGUAAGUCAAAGUCAAACAAGGGAAUGAAGGGAUUUAAAUGAGUUAGUGAUAUUCUCGUUAGAACCUGACCAUUUUAGAAUUAUUCAGAGAGCCAAUGUGGGAGAAAGAAAAAAUGUGAAGAAUGAAAAGAAAAACAGAGAAGAAUGGGAAAUUUGAAUGAAGAAGAAAGAGAAGAAAACGAGACGAGAGUGAGAGGCGGUCAGACGGAGCAAGAUUGAAACGAGAGUAGAAUGAGAACCACCGAGCAAGAUCGAAGGAACUAGGAAGAAGUCUUCAAGAUUGAUUUCAAUUUCAAAUUUGUUCAACUACAGUUGGCAAGAAAAAAUUCAAUUCAAGCGUGCUGAGGGUUUUACCUUCUUUGCGAGGUAGCAGGUUUGGAAUUUUUUUUUUUCCUGUCUCCUUUUGAAUUAAAGACAACCCUUUAUGGUUCUGAAACUCUUCACAUAUGUAUUCGAACUCCAAACCCAAUUUAAGUUGUAUGACUCUUGUAGAAAAAUGUUAAAAGGGAUAAUGUUUUUCUCGUAGUUGUUAGGCUUCGGUUGCUUCAGAGUUUUCAUUAACUGUUCUCAGUUUUCUUUAAUUUUUGGGUUCGCCGGAGUUAGCCACUUAGCCCAUUUUUGUUCUGCUUUAAAUUGGGGAAAAACUAUAUCCCAGUAAUUAUAUUGUAGUUCAGAUUCAAGUAUAAGUAAUCGUUGAAUGAAAAACUUUUUAUUAAUUGCAC
rnacentral:lncRNA from 1 species